rnacentral:rRNA from 1 species
AUGGAAACUACAGGCAGCAGGAGGAUGCUAGUGGAGGCAAGGCCACGCCGAGGUCGAAGGUGGCCGGGCGAGCUCGACGGAGGUCUUCCGCUGUCGGACGAAGUAGCAGCAGCAAGGCACGGUAGCGCUCGUAAAGCUGCAGGCCAGCAUGGUGGCCUCCAUAGCCGGCGGCCAUGCGGGUCACGCGAGGCAAGGCGGGCGAGCAAAAGGGCGGUCGCACGGGGUCCUGUGGAGCUCGGCGGCGGCAGUCCCAAUCCGGCGGAGAAACGACCACAAGGGAGGAGAGGCCGGUGUGGUCACGCCCACAGGACGGCGCAGUCCAACAAGACACAGCGGGGUGGCGGCCAAGCGACAAGGAGGAGGCGAACGGGGAGGGGAAGGUAG